GGCACCCUACACUUCUACCCACAUUCCUUUGACCAAAGGACAUCACACAGCCAGCUCAAAGACAAGGGGUGGCAAUAAAAACUCUGCCUUUACGAAGGAUCUCCAAAGUCACAUGACAAAAGAUGACUUCUUCUGGAAGAAAUGUUAUCUUCUUCUAAUAAACUUGCCAUUAUCUUCGGAGACAAAUUUCAGGAAAGAAAUAAAGAGUAUUGCAAUUACUGUCUUCCAGCUUACCCAUGACUCAGACAGAGAACAAUCAAUUCCUUAAAAAAGAAGCAAGAUUUGUGGGCCGCAAAAGAAGAUUUCUGGAAAAUAGGGCAUUUAGCCUUGUCAAGGAGAGAACAGGCUUGUUCUCAUCCCCAUGCAUGGGCUCCAUCCAGACCAUCUUGGGCCCUCUGAGCAAGCUCUGGGCUAGGAAUGAAGUCUAGCUGACAACAAUGGGUCAUGUUCAAUUACUCAGAUCUUUAGCCAGUGCCAAGGAAUUCGUGUAGCUGCUGACCUCAGGCUAUCUCCCUUUCCAC